GGCCUGGUCGGGCGGUCCGUCUCUGACGAGUACUGUCCUGUUGUCGGGUCUAUCCUUCUGGUGAGCCGGUAUGUCCUUUAUUGGGUGUGUCGGGGAACCAGGACCAUUACCUUGAAAAAAUUAGAGUGUUUAAAGCGGGCUUUUGCUUGAAUAGAUUAGCAUGGAAUAAUAGAAUAGGACGUUGGUUCUAUUUUGUUGGUCUAGGACCACCGUA
rnacentral:rRNA from 1 species